rfam:Bacillus manliponensis strain JCM 15802 contig2, whole genome shotgun sequence.
AAGAAAAAAACCCUGCAAAAGCAGGGCCCUUCUUACACUAGUAACAUGUACUAGCAAGAAGGCAAAGGGAGAGGAGAAACCGGAGGAAGAACUUAUGGGGAAACGUAAGUCUUCUCCGCGG